GUGCGUCAAUCUGUUGCGGCCAAUCUCCUAUUGUGUUCGUUGUCGGAGAAGAGCACAUGCAAAAAGAAGUCCGCACUGACUGAAAUUAUAUCCGGCGGGGAUCCUCUGAUACUUAAGUCAGUGAGGAGUGGUGAAUAGCAGAUAAAAUAUUCAAAGUGACAAAGUAUUAAUCCAGAAUUGUCCUUAUCCAAAUGCUGUUCAUUUACCUCUUUUUAUAGAUGAGUUACUGG
rnacentral:lncRNA from 1 species